rnacentral:rRNA from 1 species
UGACCUCAAAUCAGGAAGGAGUACCCGCUGAACUUAAGCAUAUCAAUAAGCGGAGGA